GAGGAUGAUGAAUUAUUAUUUUUAUCCACAAUAUUUUUUCUUGGAGAUGAAAGACUUAGUUCCAAAUCAAGAGUUCCAUUUGAAGAAAUGGAUUUAUUUGGAAUUUUAUUUUGAUGAGAAUUUUGUGAUCCAUAACUCCAAAUAGAAUCUUCACACUUUUCUCCAAAUGAAUUUAGGUCUAAUGGAGAUGAUCUUGUAAUUUCUUGACAAUCUUCUUGGUAAUUUUGACAAAAAUCUACAUAUUUGUUGUUGCUCCUUGCCAUAUCGAAGAGACUUGAACGUCUUUUUUUUUUGUUGAGACUUGAUUGUCUUAGAAAAUAUUUUUGUGCAUGACUUGCAACUUGUGUUGGAGUCCUUGUUGUCACAAAAUUUC
rnacentral:misc_RNA from 1 species